rnacentral:rRNA from 1 species
AGAGUUUGAUCCUGGCUCAGAUUGAACGCUGGCGGCAGGCUUAACACAUGCAAGUCGAACGGUAACAUAAAGAAGCUUGCUUCUUUGAUGACGAGUGGCGGACGGGUGAGUAAUGCUUGGGAAUCUAGCUUAUGGAGGGGGAUAACUACGGGAAACUGUAGCUAAUACCGCGUAGUAUCGGAAGAUGAAAGUGUGGGACCUUCGGGCCACAUGCCAUAGGAUGAGCCCAAGUGGGAUUAGGUAGUUGGUGAGGUAAAGGCUCACCAAGCCGACGAUCUCUAGCUGGUCUGAGAGGAUGACCAGCCACACUGGGACUGAGACACGGCCCAGACUCCUACGGGAGGCAGCAGUGGGGAAUAUUGCGCAAUGGGGGCAACCCUGACGCAGCCAUGCCGCGUGAAUGAAGAAGGCCUUCGGGUUGUAAAGUUCUUUCGGUAGCGAGGAAGGCACUUAGUUUAAUAAACUAGGUGAUUGACGUUAACUACAGAAGAAGCACCGGCUAACUCCGUGCCAGCAGCCGCGGUAAUACGGAGGGUGCGAGCGUUAAUCGGAAUAACUGGGCGUAAAGGGCACGCAGGCGGUGACUUAAGUGAGGUGUGAAAGCCCCGGGCUUAACCUGGGAAUUGCAUUUCAUACUGGGUCGCUAGAGUACUUUAGGGAGGGGUAGAAUUCCACGUGUAGCGGUGAAAUGCGUAGA